rnacentral:rRNA from 1 species
GACCCACGUGUGGGUUUUUGUAUGUAUGCNNUGAAUAAGGAUCGGCUAACUCCGUGCCAGCAGCCGCGGUAAUACGGAGGAUCCGAGCGUUAUCCGGAUUUAUUGGGUUUAAAGGGUGCGUAGGCGGAAAGAUAAGUCAGCCUGUGAAAGUUUGCGGCUCAACCGUAAAAUUGCAGUUGAUACUGUUUUUCUUGAGUGUACAUAAGGUAGGCGGAAUUCGUGGUGUAGCGGUGAAAUGCUUAGAUAUCACGAAGAACUCCGAUUGCGAAGGCAGCUUACCGGGGUACAACUGACGCUGAUGCACGAAAGUGUGGGUAUCAAACAGGAUUAGAUACCCUGGUAGUCCACACAGUAAACGAUGAAUACUCGCUGUUUGCGAUAUACAGUAAGCGGCCAAGCGAAAGCAUUAAGUAUUCCACCUGGGGAGUACGCCGGCAACGGUGAAACUCAAAGGAAUUGACGGGGGCCCGCACAAGCGGAGGAACAUGUGGUUUAAUUCGAUGAUACGCGAGGAACCUUACCCGGGCUUAAAUUGCAGAUGAAUAUGGUGGAAACAUCAUAGCCAGCAAUGGCAUCUGUGAAGGUGCUGCAUGGUUGUCGUCAGCUCGUGCCGUGAGGUGUCGGCUUAAGUGCCAUAACGAGCGCAACCCUUAUCGAUAGUUACUAACAGGUCAUGCUGAGGACUCUAUUGAGACUGCCGUCGUAAGAUGUGAGGAAGGUGGA